rnacentral:rRNA from 1 species
GAUGAACGCUGGCGGCGUGCCUAAUACAUGCAAGUCGAGCGAACGGACGAGAAGCUUGCUUCUCUGAUGUUGGCGGCGGACGGGUGAGUAACACGUGGAUAACCUACCUAUAAGACUGGGAUAACUUCGGGAAACCGGAGCUAAUACCGGAUAAUAUUUUGAACCGCAUGGUUCAAAAGUGAAAGACGGUCUUGCUGUCACUUAUAGAUGGAUCCGCGCUGCAUUAGCUAGUUGGUAAGGUAACGGCUUACCAAGGCGACGAUCAGUAGCCGACCUGAGAGGGUGACCGGCCACAUUGGGACUGAGACACGGCCCAA